rnacentral:lncRNA from 1 species
GUGACGGAAGGCAAGUGAUUAAGUUCCGUGUUGAAAUUGAAGUUUUUAGUCCAUUCUUUUUCCAUUGAUUUCUUAAGGUUUUUUUCAUAUUUUGGUUAUAGAAAUUUUUAUCACUUAUUAGUUUUAUGAAAUACUAUAUGUUUAAAAUAUCAUGGGAUAAUUUUUAUUACUACUAUGAAGAAGAAACUAAAGUUUGUGUCUGAAUUUGCAAUUAAAAUUAC